ACGUAGGGGGCAAGCGUUAUCCGGAAUUAUUGGGCGUAAAGAGUGCGUAGGUGGUUUUUUAAGCGUGAGGUGAAAGGCAAUAGCUUAACUAUUGUAAGCCUUGCGAACUGGAAGACUUGAGUGCAGGAGAGGAAAGUGGAAUUCCUAGUGUGGCGGUGAAGUGCAUAGAUAUUAGCAGGAACGCCAGAGGCGGAGGGGACUAACCGGGAUGUAACUCACACUUAGGCACGAAAGCGUGUGAAGCAAACAG
rnacentral:rRNA from 1 species